rnacentral:rRNA from 1 species
GAUGAACGCUGGCGGCGUGCCUAAUACAUGCAAGUCGGGCGAACAGACGAGGAGCUUGCUCCUCUGACGUUAGCGGCGGACGGGUGAGUAACACGUGGAUAACCUACCUAUAAGACUGGGAUAACUUCGGGAAACCGGAGCUAAUACCGGAUAAUAUAUUGAACCGCAUGGUUCAAUAGUGAAAGACGGUUUUGCUGUCACUUAUAGAUGGAUCCGCUCCGCAUUAGCUAGUUGGUAAGGUAACGGCUUACCAAGGCAACGAUGUGUAGCCGACCUGAGAGGGUGAACGGCCACACUGGAACUGAGACACGGUCCAGACUCCUACGGGAGGCAGCAGUAGGGAAUCUUCCGCAAUGGGCGAAAGCCUGACGGAGCAACGCCGCGUGAGUGAUGAAGGUCUUCGGAUCGUAAAACUCUGUUAUUAGGGAAGAACAAAUGUGUAAGUAACUAUGCACGUCUUGACGGUACCUAAUCAGAAAGCCACGGCUAACUACGUG